UACGAGGGGGGCAAGCGUUGUUCGGAUUUAUUGGGCGUAAAGGGUGCGUAGGCGGUUUGGCAAGUCUGAUGUGAAAUCUGUGGGCUCAACCCAUAGUCUGCAUCAGAAACUGCCGGGCUUGAGUAUGGGAGAGGUGAGUGGAAUUUCCGGUGUAGCGGUGAAAUGCGUAGAUAUCGGAAGGAACACCUGUGGCGAAGGCGGUUCUCUGGGCCGAUACUGACACUGAGGAGCGAAAGCGUGGGGAGCGAACAGG
rnacentral:rRNA from 1 species